UACGUAGGGUGCGAGCGUUGUCCGGAAUUAUUGGGCGUAAAGAGCUCGUAGGCGGCUUGUCGCGUCGGAUGUGAAAGCCCGGGGCUUAACUCCGGGUCUGCAUUCGAUACGGGCAGGCUAGAGUUCGGUAGGGGAGAUCGGAAUUCCUGGUGUAGCGGUGAAAUGCGCAGAUAUCGGGAAGAACACCCGUGGCGAAGGCGGCUCUCUGGGACGGUACUGACGCUGAGACGCGAAAGCGUGGGGAGCGAACAGG
rnacentral:rRNA from 1 species